GUGCUCGCUUCGGCAGCACAUAUACAAA
rnacentral:snRNA from 1 species